UACGUAGGGUGCGAGCGUUAAUCGGAAUUACUGGGCGUAAAGCGUGCGCAGGCGGUUUUGUAAGCCAGGUGUGAAAUCCCCGGGCUCAACCUGGGAAUGGCAUUUGGGACUGCAAGGCUGGAGUGCGGCAGAGGAGACUGGAAUUCUCGGUGUAGCAGUGAAAUGCGUAGAUAUCGAGAGGAACACCAGUGGCGAAGGCGAGUCCCUGGACACUUCCUGACACUGAGGCACGAAAGCUAGGGGAGCAAACAGG
rnacentral:rRNA from 1 species